GUGCCAGCAGCCGCGGUAAUACGUAGGGUGCGAGCGUUGUCCGGAAUUACUGGGCGUAAAGAGCUCGUAGGUGGUUUGUCGCGUCGUCUGUGAAAUCCCGGGGCUUAACCUCGGGCGUGCAGGCGAUACGGGCAUAACUUGAGUGCUGUAGGGGAGACUGGAAUUCCUGGUGUAGCGGUGAAAUGCGCAGAUAUCAGGAGGAACACCAAUGGCGAAGGCAGGUCUCUGGGCAGUAACUGACGCUGAGGAGCGAAAGCGUGGGGAGCGAACAGGAUUAGAAACCCGAGUAGUCC
rnacentral:rRNA from 1 species